rnacentral:rRNA from 1 species
GACGAACGCUGGCGGCGUGCUUAACACAUGCAAGUCGAACGGUAAGGCCCUUCGGGGUACACGAGUGGCGAACGGGUGAGUAACACGUGGGUGAUCUGCCCUGCACUUCGGGAUAAGCCUGGGAAACUGGGUCUAAUACCGGAUAGGACUCCGGACUGCAUGGUCUGGGGUGGAAAGCUUUUGCGGUGUGGGAUGGGCCCGCGGCCUAUCAGCUUGUUGGUGGGGUGAUGGCCUACCAAGGCGACGACGGGUAGCCGGCCUGAGAGGGUGACCGGCCACACUGGGACUGAGAUACGGCCCAGACUCCUACGGGAGGCAACAGUGGGGAAUAUUGCACAAUGGGCGCAAGCCUGAUGCAGCGACGCCGCGUGAGGGAUGACGGCCUUCGGGUUGUAAAUCUCUUUCAGCAUCGACGAAGCGAAAGUGACGGUAGGUGCAGAAGAAGGACCGGCCAACUACGUGCCAGCCGCCGCGGUAA